ACUUGGCUACACAUGUUUACAAAGAAAUACCUCAAGAAGCACUUGAAUUAAUGGACCCCAACUGUUAUGAAGUAAAAUGCAGAGAAUAUGUUGCACAAGUAAGAGAGCUUAAUGAAACUGAGCAGUAUAGAGAUGAAACCAAUUUGGACAGAGAUGCAGUCGCCAAGGUGUUUGGAGUUGAUGAUACAGGUUGUGUUCGAGGAAUGGGAGGUGGGAUAUCCAAGACUGAAC